GUACUUCCAGGUGCACGUGAUACUGAUGGGGAAGGGUCGGCUGAUUGCUGCCAGAAAUGGAGAGCUCGUUUUAAGGAAAUGCGGCGUCUCCUGGGAGUGAAGAGGCUUUUGGGCCACCUUGAGGCAUGACGGGUGCCGCUUCGUUUCCCUGCGACCGCUGCCUGUUUCGACUGAGCCCCUCACAGGAGGACGUGGCGGGGGCAGACGGGCGCAGCCUCCCGCCCUCUCCGUGACUCAGGGAAACGGCCUCGCCGCAGAGCGCUCCCUCGGCAGCUGGCUGCAGCACUCCUCCCCCGCCGGGCUUCAGAGUGGGUGGUUUCCUACAGCCUAGGGAGGGGGCCUGAAACGGGGUUUAAAAUCUUCCCUGCCCUCACACAAGCCCUUCUGACUGUUGGAGAACCUGACGCGCGGAUUCUAACUAGAACUGGCACUCUCUUCGGGUGUUAGAUAAUUAACUCAAAGGACAGCGAAGGCCUUUUAUGAUGUCUUUCAAGCUGGCCUUAUGACAGCUUUUCUUAACGUUUCUGCGGACAUUUUGGCGGACUUGUGUCGGCCUAGCUCAGUGAUCAGUUUCGUUAAAGAAUUUGAGUAUCCGAACAUUAAAGGAUUGGACCUAAAUUCUAGCAGGAGGAUUUUUAGCCACAUCAAAUAAUUUACGUCUCAAAGAUUUAGAUAAUUAGGGUAAGGAUGCUUAGUAAAACCCGAAGGUUCCAUCGCGCCACUGCACUCCAACCUGGGCGACAGAGCGAGACUCCGUCUCAAAAAAAAAACAAACAAAAAAAAACCUGAAGGUUCCUGGAGGAAAGAGAUGAACUAUUAGCCGUGUAUUUCGGUGGGACCACCUCAACAUAGGUUCCUGUAGGUUAGCAAUGUAGAAAUGUAGCGCUUCAAAGCCGGAGCAUCCUGUCUUCAAAGAGCAUGAAGGUAUCAACGGCAUUCAUUGUCGAUUAAUAAUAACCUUUCUGGUACUUUCUUGCUAAAGUAUAAGCCAUAAUAAUAUUUCAUAAUCGCACCAAUACAAUAAAGGAUGAAAGACGUUAGUUCUGUGCCUUUUAUCUUUGUAAGAGAGGUGAUUCUCCCCCCCCACCCCCCGCCCCGCCGAAAGAGAAAAGCUCAAGUCCACAAUAAUUAUUUUUAGUGUCCUUUUCAGUUAAAGGACAUAAAACCCUAUUGGGUAGACGAUAGUUUUGUAUGCUAAGCAGUUUAGGUUACAGUGAGAAGUUUGCCAAUCAUUUUAGUUGCUUUUAGUGUUUUUCCCUUUACUUAACUGUCUCACAUACUGAGCAUGAGAGAAGAGUCUGGCAGGUAAGAGGGCAAAGAUUGUUCUGCAAAGAAAAGCCUUGCCACCAUGUUGUAAGAGUGAAUAUUUAUGCUUGCAAAAUUUCUUUUUGUAUUGUUAAGCUAAAUACACGAAGAUCCUCUGUUCCGCAACAUUUGAAAUAACCUAAUGCCAGUCUAGUAAUAACUGCUUUAAACCCUUUUUGGAAGUAGACAAAUUCUAAAUUAAAAUUCUAAGGGAGUAAUUGUUUUAUUACAGUAAUUCAAUAGCUUGAUCAAGUCACCUUUUCAAUCUCAGAAUCCGGAGAUAAAAGAGCCGUAUCAUGAAUGGGCCACCAAAAUUUAAUUAGUGUCUGGCAUUUUCAUACAGACCCUGUAACUUUAAGUACAUUUAGAAUCCCAAAAGCAGUUGAUUUUAGCUAUUUGGAGUGGAAUAUCUAACCAAAAAGUGCGCUGAGGUUGUUAGUGACUGCUACGUCAUCACACAUAGAAAUUACACUGUUUUGAGAAAUAAUUUAGGAAGAGGAAAAAUAGAUCGUGAUAUCCUGGGUCAUUUUGAAAUGAUCUUCAAAUUAAUCCAAAAAUUUUCAAGAGAAAAAAAAAGUCAAGAUGAUA
rnacentral:lncRNA from 1 species